rnacentral:rRNA from 1 species
AGUGAACGCUGGCGGUAGGCCUAACACAUGCAAGUCGAACGGCAGCACAGGAGAGCUUGCUCUCUGGGUGGCGAGUGGCGGACGGGUGAGGAAUACAUCGGAAUCUACUCUGUCGUGGGGGAAAACGUAGGGAAACUUACGCUAAUACCGCAUACGACCUACGGGUGAAAGCAGGGGACCUUCGGGCCUUGCGCGAUUGAAUGAGCCGAUGUCGGAUUAGCUAGUUGGCGGGGUAAAGGCCCACCAAGGCGACGAGCCGUAGCUGGUCUGAAGGGAUGAUCAGCCACACUGGAACGGAGACACGGUACAGACUCCUACGGGAGGCAGCAGUGGGGAAUAUUGGACAAUGGGCGCAAGCCUGAUCCAGCCAUACCGCGUGGGUGAAGAAGGCCUUCGGGUUGUAAAGCCCUUUUGUUGGGAAAGAAAUCCAGCUGGCUAAUACCCGGUUGGGAUGACGGUACCCAAAGAAUAAGCACCGGCUAACUUCGUGCCAGCAGCCGCCGUAA